GACGAACGCUGGCGGCGUGCUUAACACAUGCAAGUCGAACGGAAAGGCCCUGCUUUUGUGGGGUGCUCGAGUGGCGAACGGGUGAGUAACACGUGAGUAACCUGCCCUUGACUUUGGGAUAACUUCAGGAAACUGGGGCUAAUACCGGAUAGGAGCUCCUGCUGCAUGGUGGGGGUUGGAAAGUUUCGGCGGUUGGGGAUGGACUCGCGGCUUAUCAGCUUGUUGGUGGGUUAGUGGCUUACCAAGGCUUUGACGGGUAGCCGGCCUGAGAGGGUGACCGGCCACAUUGGGACUGAGAUACGGCCCAGACUCCUACGGGAGGCAGCAGUGGGGAAUAGUGCACAAUGGGCGGAAGCCUGAUGCAGCAACGCCGCGUGCGGGAUGACGGCCUUCGGGUUGUAAACCGCUUUCGCCUGUGACGAAGCGUGAGUGACGGUAAUGGGUAAAGAAGCACCGGCUAACUACGUG
rnacentral:rRNA from 1 species